GAAAGGCGGGCUAAACCCGCGUACAUGCCACCGGGGCAUCCCGGAGGCAGGAAAGGCUUCGGCCGGACAGGGAUGGGCAUGCGGCGCAUUAGGCAGUAGGCGGGGUAACGGCCCACCUAACCGACGAUGCGUAGGGGUUCUGAGAGGAAGGUCCCCCACACUGGUACUGAGACACGGACCAGACUCCUACGGGAGGCAGCAGUGGGGAAUAUUGGUCAAUGGUCGGGAGACUGAACCAGCCAAGCCGCGUGAGGGAUGAAGGUACAGAGUAUCGUAAACCUCUUUUGUCAGGGAACAAAGGCGGGGACGUGUCCCCGGAUGAGUGUACCUGAAGAAAAAGCAUCGGCUAACUCCGUGCCAGCAGCCGCGGUAAUACGGAGGAUGCGAGCGUUAUCCGGAUUUAUUGGGUUUAAAGGGUGCGCAGGCGGUCUGUUAAGUCAGCGGUCAAAGCCCGGGGCUCAACCCCGGCCCGCCGUUGAAACUGGCAGUCUCGAGUUGGAGAGAAGUAUGCGGAAUGCGCGGUGUAGCGGUGAAAUGCAUAGAUAUCGCGCAGAACUCCGAUUGCGAAGGCAGCAUGCCGGCUCCACACUGACGCUGAGGCACGAAAGCGUGGGUAUCGAACAGGAUUAGAUACCCUGGUAGUCC
rnacentral:rRNA from 1 species